rnacentral:rRNA from 1 species
GACGAACGCUGGCGGCGUGCCUAAUACAUGCAAGUCGAACGCUGAAGGAGGAGCUUGCUUCUCUGGAUGAGUUGCGAACGGGUGAGUAACGCGUAGGUAACCUGCCUGGUAGCGGGGGAUAACUAUUGGAAACGAUAGCUAAUACCGCAUAAGAGUAGAUGUUGCAUGACAUUUGCUUAAAAGGUGCAAUUGCAUCACUACCAGAUGGACCUGCGUUGUAUUAGCUAGUUGGUGGGGUAACGGCUCACCAAGGCGACGAUACAUAGCCGACCUGAGAGGGUGAUCGGCCAAACUGGGACUGAGACACGGCCAAGACUCCUAAGGGAGGAAGCAGGAGGGAAACUUCGGCAAUGGACGGAAGUCUGAACGAGAAACGCCGCGGGAGUGAAGAAGGAUAUCGGAUCGUAAAGCUCUGUUGUAAGAGAAGAACGAGUGUGAGAGUGGAAAGUUCACAAUGUGACGGUAGCUUAACAGAAAGGGACGGCUAACUACGUG